UAAUAGAUACCCGGGUAGUCCACGCCGUAAACGAUGUCGACUUGGAGGUUGUUCCCUUGAGGAGUGGCUUCCGGAGCUAACGCGUUAAGUCGACCGCCUGGGGAGUACGGCCGCAAGGUUAAACUCAAAUGAAUUGACGGAGGCCCGCACAAGCGGUGGAGCAUGUGGUUUUAAUUCGAUGCAACGCGAAGAACCUUACCUACUCUUGACAUCCACGGAACUUAGCAGAGAUGCUUUGGUGCCUUCGGGAACCGUGAGACAGGUGCUGCAUGGCUGUCGUCAGCUCGUGUUGUGAAAUGUUGGGUUAAGUCCCGCAACGAGCGCAACCCUUAUCCUUUGUUGCCAGCGGUCCGGCCGGGAACUCAAAGGAGACUGCCAGUGAUAAACUGGAGGAAGGUGGGGAUGACGUCAAGUCAUCAUGGCCCUUACGAGUAGGGCUACACACGUGCUACAAUGGCGCAUACAAAGAGAAGCGACCUCGCGAGAGCAAGCGGACCUCAUAAAGUGCGUCGUAGUCCGGAUUGGAGUCUGC
rnacentral:rRNA from 1 species